GCCAGUGUGGUGUGGUGGUUUGAGCGUUGGACUAUGACUCUGGAGACCAGGGUUCAAAUCCCGAAGCAAGCA